rnacentral:lncRNA from 1 species
UCGUGUUGAUAGUCUUCAGUUUUCAAUGUCGUUUCCUGUGUACUAUUAUUUGUCUGUUUCUCUUUUUCUAUUAGCCAUGGUUUUGUCAGUUUAUUUUCGAUCUUUGAAUUUGAUUGCCCAUCUGGUAUCGUUUACUCCUUUUAAAUUCGUCAUAGAUCAUAGUUUGCCUAUGUCUGCUCAUAUUUCUGCAGAAAUUAUUUUGUUGAAAAAGACUUUACUUUGUUUAAUUAUUAAAUAAUCAAUGUAAUCAAUAUGUAAUCACUUUUAUGAAAUUGAACCUAAUUGUACUGCUGAAAUUAUUGGGCGUCAUAAUUGACAAUAAAAACUUUGUAUCUUGUAUCUUGUAUUCGUUUAUUAAAUUUAGUUUUGAUAUGUUCCUUGACUUAAAAACUUUUACAGCUGACUUUGUCAUCGUAUGAGAAUUAAUGAAAGCUUUUCCUGGUUAAUUUUUCAGUCUCUUGUUCUUUCUUUGGUAGGUGAUUAUCGUUGUGAAUCAGAUGCCUUCCUAUUUCCUGUUUUUCUCUGUAACAGGAAUUUGAAACCAGUAAGAUGUAUUAGCUUCAUAUCUAUAUUUUUAUUAGCAAGUACCAAGUCAGGGAAAUGGCCAUUGUUUUAUUAUAGUUCUUUUCUGUGUGUGUUACAUUUUAAAGUUGUGUUUCUGUUGUGUCGUAGUUCUUUUAUAUUUGAUGCGUUUUCCUCGUAUUAGUUUGUAACCCGGAUGUGUUUUUCUCUAUCGAUUUAUGAAUUUCGAACAGCGGUAUACUACUGUUGCCUUUAUUUAGUUAAAAAUAUUUUAAAAUAAUUUAUACGGAUAACAUGCAACUGGAAUCACGAUGUUCAUACUAUACUUUGUUGGAUAGUUGAUCAGAAUGGUAUGUGUGCAAAGGAUUAAAAGACAUAUUUAUUCAGCAGUAGUCAAUUUUAAGA